GGUCAAAAUCAUGCUGAAACAACAGUUCUCAUUUGAUCCCCGAAGUUAAGCAAUGUUGAGCCUGGUCAAUACUUAGGUGGGCAGGAACCACUUGGUAACACUGGGAACUGCAA